GUGUGUGCUUCACCUUUUCACAUUCAAUAACUCUGCUUGUCUGCAGCGAUGGCAGCCAUUUUGUUCUCUGAAUCCCUGAAGCAUGUAACACAGGAGAUGCACACACUGUGCUCUCUCUCUCAUAGAGACUCUGUGUGUGUGUGUGUGUGUGUGUGUGUGUGUGUUUCCUUUCUUGUUGCUGGCUUUCUUUAAUUUAGAGUGAAGGUAGAUGGCUGCUCUGUGUGUGUGGUGAAAAGCAAAAGUUGGGUUUUGAAUUUUGGGUCUAGAUCACAAUAUGUACUUCACCAGAGUCGAAAGGGCUUUUCUGAUGUAGGGAUCUGGUUCAGACCCACAUCCAGCACAAAUAAUCAUGUGAGCGGUAAACAAGUUGGUGUGUUUUGAAUUUUUUUUUUUUCCCCUUGGUACCUAACUCCGUCUUUAAAAAGACUGAAUCUAGACGCCUGAUCUCCAAGAAUACUGACAUGCCCUGGGUCUGAACAAGGAAAUCAAUCAAUUAUUCAGCAUCAGGAAACUCUCACAAAGCAGCAGGCGAUGUGAAGAGGUGGAUUGUCCAUGCGGGGUCCUGCAGAAAUAGUCAUGCAACCAGCAUGGGCGUGAAAUUGAGCAUUCAUGUGUCCGUGCAAAACUGGCUGAUAUCUUCAAGGCUCUUGCAAGAUCCCUUGCAAUGCUGGCUUUAUUUAACCAUCUUCUGUUCUGCCUCCAAGCAAUUUGAGGUGGCUUGAGCUCUAGCUUCAGUGGGGCACGUUAGCUUUUGCUACAUGGAUUGCUAGAAGUUGGUUGGCUUCAACAAGCAGGCCCCUCUGGCAAUCAAUACAUCCAUUCGUGAGCGGGAACCAGAAGUGGAAAGGACAUUGUCACUAAAUGAGAGAGAGGUGCAUGGGGGGAGGCGGGAGCGGCAUCGAGGCCUCCUGAUACCUGGAAAUGGAGUCGCUAUAUCAUGUGCCUCAAGAAUGAUUAUGA